UAGGGAAUCUUGGACAAUGGGGGCAACCCUGAUCCAGCCAUGCCGCGUGAGUGAAGAAGGCCCUAGGGUCGUAAAGCUCUUUCGCCUGCGAAGAUAAUGACGGUAGCAGGUAAAGAAACCCCGGCUAACUCCGUGCCAGCAGCCGCGGUAAUACGGAGGGGGUUAGCGUUGUUCGGAAUUACUGGGCGUAAAGCGCGCGUAGGCGGAUCUUUAAGUCAGGGGUGAAAUCCCGGGGCUCAACCCCGGAACUGCCUUUGAUACUGGGGAUCUUGAGAUCGAGAGAGGUGAGUGGAAUUCCGAGUGUAGAGGUGAAAUUCGUAGAUAUUCGGAGGAACACCAGUGGCGAAGGCGGCUCACUGGCUCGAUACUGACGCUGAGGUGCGAAAGCGUGGGGAGCAAACAGGAUUAGAUACCCCCGUAGUCC
rnacentral:rRNA from 1 species